GGAAGUAAAAAGUCGUAACAAGGUCUCCGUUGGUGAACCAGCGGAGGGAUCAUUACAGAGUUGCAAAACUCCCUAAACCAUUGUGAACGUUACCUAUACCGUUGCUUCGGCGGGCGGCCCCGGGGUUUACCCCCCGGGCGCCCCUGGGCCCCACCGCGGGCGCCCGCCGGAGGUCACCAAACUCUUGAUAAUUUAUGGCCUCUCUGAGUCUUCUGUACUGAAUAAGUCAAAACUUUCAACAACGGAUCUCUUGGUUCUGGCAUCGAUGAAGAACGCAGCGAAAUGCGAUAAGUAAUGUGAAUUGCAGAAUUCAGUGAAUCAUCGAAUCUUUGAACGCACAUUGCGCCCGCCAGCAUUCUGGCGGGCAUGCCUGUUCGAGCGUCAUUUCAACCAUCAAGCCCCCGGGCUUGUGUUGGGGACCUGCGGCUGCCGCAGGCCCUGAAAAGCAGUGGCGGGCUCGCUGUCGCACCGAGCGUAGUAGCAUACAUCUCGCUCUGGUCGCGCCGCGGGUUCCGGCCGUUAAACCACCUUUUUAACCCAAGGUUGACCUCGGAUCAGGUAGGAAGACCCGCUGAACUUAAGCAUAUCAAUAAGCCGGAGGA
rnacentral:rRNA from 1 species